rnacentral:rRNA from 1 species
ACAGGCUUAACACAUGCAAGUCGAGGGGCAGCAUGGUCUUAGCUUGCUAAGGCCGAUGGCGACCGGCGCACGGGUGAGUAACACGUAUCCAACCUGCCGUCUACUCUUGGACAGCCUUCUGAAAGGAAGAUUAAUACAAGAUGGCAUCAUGAGUCCGCAUGUUCACAUGAUUAAAGGUAUUCCGGUAGACGAUGGGGAUGCGUUCCAUUAGAUAGUAGGCGGGGUAACGGCCCACCUAGUCUUCGAUGGAUAGGGGUUCUGAGAGGAAGGUCCCCCACAUUGGAACUGAGACACGGUCCAAACUCCUACGGGAGGCAGCAGUGAGGAAUAUUGGUCAAUGGGCGCAGGCCUGAACCAGCCAAGUAGCGUGAAGGAUGACUGCCCUAUGGGUUGUAAACUUCUUUUAUAAAGGAAUAAAGUCGGGUAUGUAUACCCGUUUGCAUGUACUUUAUGAAUAAGGAUCGGCUAACUCCGUGCCAGCAGCCGCGGUAAUACGGAGGAUCCGAGCGUUAUCCGGAUUUAUUGGGUUUAAAGGGAGCGUAGAUGGAUGUUUAAGUCAGUUGUGAAAGUUUGCGGCUCAACCGUAAAAUUGCAGUUGAUACUGGAUAUCUUGAGUGCAGUUGAGGCAGGCGGAAUUCGUGGUGUAGCGGUGAAAUGCUUAGAUAUCACGAAGAACUCCGAUUGCGAAGGCAGCCUGCUAAGCUGCAACUGACAUUGAGGCUCGAAAGUGUGGGUAUCAAACAGG